GCCCAUAUAGCUCAGGGGUAGAGCACUUCCUUGGUAAGGAAGAGGUCUCCGGUUCAAUUCCGGAUAUGGGCU
rnacentral:tRNA from 1 species